rnacentral:tRNA from 1 species
GGUUUGUAGCUCAGUGGUAGAGCACUUGCCUAGCAUGUGUAAGGCCCUGGGUUUGAUUCUCAGCACCA